rnacentral:lncRNA from 1 species
CCUUAUCCAUUAUUUCCAUAGUGAAAUAAUUUUUUUAAGAAUUGUGAUUUAAUUUUAAGCAUAGAAAAGUCUUUCUGUGGCUAAAUCACCUUCUGAUUUAAUCAUGGAAAUUGGUUAAAAUUUGAAACCUUGCCAAAUCAAUCCAUGUGCCUAAUAUAGAGUCCAAUAUGUUAAGGAUUCUAAUCCAAAUGUCAUGUCACAUCUUAUCUCUGAUUUUUUUCCAUGCCAUCUCUAGGUUUAUGCCUUAAUUUUGGUCCAUUGGAUGGCCAAAGUACACUGAUGUGUGGUGGAAAAAAAAUAUGCCAAAGAAAGCUUC